rnacentral:rRNA from 1 species
GACGAACGCUGGCGGCGUGCUUAACACAUGCAAGUCGAACGGAAAGGCCCUGCUUUUGUGGGGUGCUCGAGUGGCGAACGGGUGAGUAACACGUGAGUAACCUGCCCUUGACUUUGGGAUAACUUCAGGAAACUGGGGCUAAUACCGGAUAGGAGCUCCUGCUGCAUGGUGGGGGUGGGAAAGUUUCGGCGGUUGGGGAUGGACUCGCGGCUUAUCAGCUUGUUGGUGGGGUAGUGGCUUACCAAGGCUUUGACGGGUAGCCGGCCUGAGAGGGUGACCGGGCCCAUUGGGACUGAGGUACGGCCCAGACUGCUACGGGAGGCAGCGGUGGGGAAUAUUGCGCAAUGGGCGGAGGCCUGAUGCAGCGACGCCGCGUGCGGGUUGACGGCCUUCGGGUUGUAAACCGCUUUCGCCUGUGACGAAGCGUGAGUGACGGUAAUGGGUAAAGAAGCACCGGCUAACUACGUG